AUUGAACGCUGGCGGCAGGCCUAACACAUGCAAGUCGAGCGAUUGGCGGACGGGUGAGUAAUGUCUGGGAAACUGCCUGAUGGAGGGGGAUAACUACUGGAAACGGUAGCUAAUACCGCAUACCAUCGGAUGUGCCCAGAUGGGAUGAGCUAGUAGGUGGGGUAAAGGCUAACCUAGGCGACGAUCCCUAGCUGGUCUGAGAGGAUGACCAGCCACACUGGAACUGAGACACGGUCCAGACUCCUACGGGAGGCAGAAGUGGGGAAUAUUGCACAAUGGGCGCAAGCCUGAUGCAGCCAUGCCGCGUGUAUGAAGAAGGCCUUCGGGUUGUAAAGUACUUUCAGCGGGGAGGCGUUACCCGCAGAAGAAGCACCGGCUAACUCCGUGCCAGCAGCCGCGGUAAUUC
rnacentral:rRNA from 1 species